UGCAGUGAUGGUGUAAUUUGCGUCCGACCUUGUGAACAGUGACAGUUGCCUGCUGUCUCAUUGCUGUCACGGGUGGUUGACGAAGACUGAUUCUGAGCA